GAUGAACGCUGGCGGCGUGCCUAAUACAUGCAAGUCGAGCGAACAGAUGAGGAGCUUGCUCCUCUGACGUUAGCGGCGGACGGGUGAGUAACACGUGGAUAACCUACCUAUAAGACUGGGAUAACUUCGAGAAACCGGAGCUAAUACCGGAUAAUAUAUUGAACCGCAUGGUUCAAUAGUGAAAGACGGUUUUGCUGUCACUUAUAGAUGGAUCCGCGCCGCAUUAGCUAGUUGGUAAGGUAACGGCUUACCAAGGCAACGAUGCGUAGCCGACCUGAGAGGGUGAUCGGCCACACUGGAACUGAGACACGGUCCAGACUCCUACGGGAGGCAGCAGUAGGGAAUCUUCCGCAAUGGGCGAAAGCCUGACGGAGCAACGCCGCGUGAGUGAUGAAGGUCUGCGGAUCGUAAAACUCUGUUAUUAGGGAAGAACAAAUGUGUAAGUAACGAUGCACGUCUUGACGGUACCUAAGCAGAAAGCCACGGCUAACUACGU
rnacentral:rRNA from 1 species